CCUACGGGCGGCAGCAGUGGGGGAUAUUGCACAAUGGGGGGAACCCUGACGCAGCGACGCCGCGUGGGUGAAGAAGCGCCUCGGCGCGUAAAGUCCUGUCAGCAGGGAAGAAAAUGCCGGUAACUGAAGAAGAAGCUCUGGCCAACUACGUGCUAGCAGCCGCGGUAAUACGGAGGGGGCAAGCGUUAGCCGGAUUUACUGGGUGUAAAGGGGGCGGAGACGGCGGUGCAAGCCAAGAGUGAAAGCCGAGGGCCCAACCCUGGGACGGCUAGUGGAACUGCGAGGCUGGAGUGCAGGAGAGGCAGGCAGAAUUCCUGGUGUAGCGGUGAAAUGCGUAGAUAUCAGGAGGAACACCGUUGGCGAAGGCGGCAAGCUGGACUGCAACUGACGUUGAGGCCCGAAAGCGUGGGGAGCAAACAGGAUUAGAUACCCUUGUAGUC
rnacentral:rRNA from 1 species